rnacentral:rRNA from 1 species
AGCGAACGCUGGCGGCAGGCCUAACACAUGCAAGUCGAACGGAUCCUUCGGGAUUAGUGGCGGACGGGUGAGUAACACGUGGGAACGUGCCCUUUGGUUCGGAACAACUCAGGGAAACUUGAGCUAAUACCGGAUGUGCCCUUCGGGGGAAAGAUGUAUCGCCAUUGGAGCGGCCCGCGUCUGAUUAGCUAGUUGGUGAGGUAACGGCCCACCAAGGCGACGAUCAGUAGCUGGUCUGAGAGGAUGAUCAGCCACACUGGGACUGAGACACGGCCCAGACUCCUACGGGAGGCAGCAGUGGGGAAUCUUGCGCAAUGGGCGAAAGCCUGACGCAGCCAUGCCGCGUGAAUGAUGAAGGUCUUAGGAUUGUAAAAUUCUUUCAGCGGGGACGAUAAUGACGGUACCCGCAGAAGAAGCACCGGCUAACUUCGUG